UACGUAGGGUCCGAGCGUUGUCCGGAAUUAUUGGGCGUAAAGAGCUCGUAGGCGGUCUGUCGCGUCGGUUGUGAAAACCUGGGGCUCAACUCCAGGCCUGCAAUCGAUACGGGCAGACUAGAGUUCGGUAGGGGAGACUGGAAUUCCUGGUGUAGCGGUGAAAUGCGCAGAUAUCAGGAGGAACACCGGUGGCGAAGGCGGGUCUCUGGGCCGUAACUGACGCUGAGGAGCGAAAGCGUGGGGAGCGAACAGG
rnacentral:rRNA from 1 species